GAUGAACGCUGGCGGCGUGCCUAAUACAUGCAAGUCGAGCGAACAGACGAGGAGCUUGCUCCUCUGACGUUAGCGGCGGGCGGGUGAGUAACACGUGGAUAACCUACCUAUAAGACUGGGAUAACUUCGGGAAACCGGAGCUAAUACCGGAUAAUAUGUUGAACCGCAUGGUUCAACAGUGAAAGACGGUCUUGCUGUCACUUAUAGAUGGAUCCGCGCCGCAUUAGCUAGUUGGUAAGGUAACGGCUUACCAAGGCAACGAUGCGUAGCCGACCUGAGAGGGUGAUCGGCCACACUGGAACUGAGACACGGUCCAGACUCCUACGGGAGGCAGCAGUAGGGAAUCUUCGGCAAUGGGCGAAAGCCUGACGGAGCAACGCCGCGUGAGUGAAGAAGGUCUUCGGAUCGUAAAGCUCUGUUAUUGGGGAAGAACAGAUGUAUAUGUAAAUCUGGACGUCUUGACGGUACCUAAUCAGAAAGCAACGGCUAACUUCGUG
rnacentral:rRNA from 1 species